CCGGGGCUACAAGUGUUUGUAGCUCUUUCAGGACGUACUCCUUAUCGUAUUUCUGGCCAUGUGGUACCUGCGAACGGAAGGAUUGGAAUUGAAGACAUAGUAGAGGAACACUCAGGCCGCAUACGCCUUCCACACUACAAAAAAUAUGUUUCCCAAGAACACUGCACUUACGGUUACUAGAAACCAGCCCGAUGUACCACUAACUAAUUUUCGCAUUCCAGGUGGUCCGUGGCCCGUACGAGGUACAGGUGAUCCACGUCGGCGAAGUCUUGCAUUCGGGUUUCUGUGAUACUGAAAAACAAAACACAAAUUUUCGUUGGUCCAAAGAGUAAGAAAAGGAAAUGAGAAGACCGCGGAAGACUUACGUUCCCAUCACGAUUCAGGCCAUUGGGAAAAUCGACCAUGUCAUCAUCAUCAUCUAGUGUGGUUCGUAUUGCUAAAUUUAGAUUCUUUUGUGGUUUGUUGUUGAAUUGACGACCUCCUGUUCCUCCUGCACCAGACGGCUUGAAACUGACACGGCGGGUGUUCUUUGUACGAUGCAAUUUAUUUCCAGUGUUUUCACCGCGAUCAUCG